rnacentral:tRNA from 1 species
GCCGCGGUGGUGGAAUGGUAUACACGCAGGACUUAAAAUCCUGUGAUCGCACAGAUCGUGAGAGUUCGACUCUCUCCCGCGGCACAA